UUGACCUCGGAUCAGGUAGGAUUACCCGCUGAACUUAAGCAUAUCAAUAAGCGGAGGAAGAGAAACCAACAGGGAUUGCCUCAGUAACGGCGAGUGAAGCGGCAACAGCUCAGAUUUGGAAUCUGGUCCCUCGGGGCCCGAGUUGUAAUCUGGAGAGGAUGCUUCUGGCGCGGCGCCGUCCGAGUUCCCUGGAACGGGACGCCGGAGAGGGUGAGAGCCCCGUACGGUCGGACGCCUAGCCUGUGUGAAGCUCCUUCGACGAGUCGAGUAGUUUGGGAAUGCUGCUCAAAAUGGGAGGUAAAUUUCUUCUAAAGCUAAAUACCGGCCAGAGACCGAUAGCGCACAAGUAGAGUGAUCGAAAGAUGAAAAGCACUUUGAAAAGAGGGUCAAACAGUACGUGAAAUUGUUGAAAGGGAAGCGCCCGUGGCCAGACUUGUGCCCGGCAGACCAUCCGGCGCCCCCGCGCCGGUGCACUCUGCCGGGCGCAGGCCAGCAUCGGUUUUCCCAGGGGGAUAAAGGCGGCGGGAACGUGGCUCCCUCGGGAGCGUUAUAGCCCGCCGCGUCAUGCCUCUGGGGGGACCGAGGACCGCGCAUUUAUGCAAGGAUGCUGGCGUAAUGGCCACCGGCGACCGUC
rnacentral:rRNA from 2 species